rnacentral:rRNA from 1 species
GGAUUCCCCUAGUAACUGCGAGUGAAGCGGGAAAAGCUCAAAUUUAAAAUCUGGUAGUCUUUGGCUGCCCGAGUUGUAAUCUAGAGAAGUGUUAUCCGCACUGGACCGUGUACAAGUCUCCUGGAAUGGAGCGUCAUAGAGGGUGAGAAUCCCGUCUUUGACACGGACUACCAGGGCUUUGUGAUGCGCUCUCAAAGAGUCGAGUUGUUUGGGAAUGCAGCUCUAAAUGGGUGGUAAAUUCCAUCUAAAGCUAAAUAUUGGCGAGAGACCGAUAGCGAACAAGUACCGUGAGGGAAAGAUGAAAAGAACUUUGGAAAGAGAGUUAAACAGUACGUGAAAUUGUUGAAAGGGAAACGCUUGAAGUCAGUCGUGUUGGCCAGGGAUCAACCUUGCUUCUUGCUUGGUGUACUUUCUGGUUAAUGGGUCAGCAUCAAUUUUGACCAGUGGAAAAAGACUAGGGGAAUGUGGCAUCUUCGGAUGUGUUAUAGCCCUUGGUUGCAUACACUGGUUGGGAUUGAGGAACUCAGCACGCCGCAAGGCCGGGUUUUUACCACGUUCGUGCUUAGGAUGCUGGCAUAAUGGCUUUAAUCGACCCGC